rnacentral:lncRNA from 1 species
CUGGACGAUUCUAUCUUAAUUGUGCGCCAAGUGAGUGAAGAGCUCUCCUCUCAUGAUCUUCCCUUCUCUUCACAGGGUGCUUGUUUCUAUUGCAGCUUAUAGUAGGGCCUUAAAAGCUUAAGUGCCUUGGACAGACUUUCUAGAACGACGACUUACUGGAAGGCCCACCGGUUUUAACUAGAUACUUUUUGACUUGUAUAGUGUGUGAGACGUGGUAAAUUAUCCUCGAGAGCGAGCAAAACUGGGCUAUCUGCGGGGUAAGUUUACCGAAAAGCUACGUAGCGCCUAACAGGGAUAUCCCUGGCGACGAGUACAAAAGGAAGCUUCCUAGCGUGCUUCCCUGGACUUUAUGGAG